rnacentral:lncRNA from 1 species
AAAAUCUAAGUGACUCUUUACACUAACGUUUAGGGAUGUGUAACAGCAGGAGAUUGCUUCCUGCUAUAAAUUCUUCAUGGCCUGCUACCCUAUCCUACUAAAAGCACACGCAAGCCCUGGGUGAACAUAGGCGUGCAGGAUUUUGCGAGGUGGAAGAUGCUUCAAAAAAACUUGUACUGAAUUUCAGUAGGACCAGGACCAAUUGGUUGGCAAUGCUGCACCCUUUUCUUCAUCCUAAAAUGCUCCUUGGAUUCUAACUGGCAGUAUUGGCUUCGGGAGGAUUACAAGACUGGGGGCAAUGCAUAUGAGGAGCACUGAUACGAAGAAAACUUCCCGAAGGUCAUGCAAAGGCAAACUUGGCUAGUGGGGAAUCGCCUUCCAGAAUAGACCGCAGCCUCAGCCUUCCACUGAAAUAGUUGCACAAGGUGAAUAUGUUAUGAUAGUACUCCUAAGUAUCUGCCAUUAAAGGAGAUUUUUGCUUAUCACCCGGCGCAGU